rnacentral:rRNA from 1 species
UGGGGAAUAUUGCACAAUGGGCGAAAGCCUGAUGCAGCAACGCCGCGUGAGUGAUGAAGGUCUUCGGAUUGUAAAGCUCUGUCUUUUGGGACGAUAAUGACGGUACCAAAGGAGGAAGCCACGGCUAACUACGUGCCAGCAGCCGUGGUAAUACGUAGGUGGCGAGCGUUGUCCGGAUUUACUGGGCGUAAAGGGUGCGUAGGCGGAUGUUUAAGUGAGAUGUGAAAUACCCGGGCUUAACUUGGGUGCUGCAUUUCAAACUGGAUAUCUAGAGUGCAGGAGAGGAGAAUGGAAUUCCUAGUGUAGCGGUGAAAUGCGUAGAGAUUAGGAAGAACACCAGUGGCGAAGGCGAUUCUCUGGACUGUAACUGACGCUGAGGCACGAAAGCGUGGGUAGCAAACAGGAUUAGAUACCCUGGUAGUCCACGCCGUAAACGAUGAGUACUAGGUGUAGGAGGUAUCGACCCCUUCUGUGCCGCAGUAAACACAUUAAGUACUCCGCCUGGGAAGU